CAUAUACUCCCUCCGUUUGGAAUUACUUGUUUCGGAUAUGGAUGUAUCUAGAACUAAAAUACGUCUAGAUACAUUCAUUUCUGCGACAAGUAAUUCCGAACGGAAGGAGUAUAUC
rnacentral:pre_miRNA from 1 species